GACAGGCGAUGGAGACGGGGAUCAGAUGGGAGGGUGACCUGGUGAGAGAUUUUCCAGCUGGCAGAAAUGUCCUCUACCUUGAGGGAGGCGUGUGACAUGGGAGUUCUGUUUAAAGAGGAGAAUGGAUGGUUACACAUCCUGCUUGGGAUCCAAUCACUGAACCAGAGGGGAACACCGUGCAUGAUGGGCUGGUAAGGCGUGGGGGUCAGUACAGCAUGACACAGAAGCCCUACCCACUUUACGGAUGAGGAAAUGGAGGCUCGGGAGAUGAAGCUGGCAGACUUCCUCUGGAACUUCCUCUGGACAUCUGGAGGGACGUCCUGUCAGCAGAGCAGGCUGGACUGCUUCACAAAGAGGAUGCAGCCCCACCUCCCAGCGGGAGUCAGUUCUGCUCUGAGACGUGAGGCUCAGAAUCAGAUGAAGACUCCUGCUGCUGCAUCUUGAAGAUAAUGAUGCUGUUGCUCCCGGCUGGAACCACAGCAGUGGCGAUGAGUGAACAGCCAGCAGAGUGGAGCGGCCACACUGAUACAGGUGAGGCUCCAGCACUGCCGCAGCCCAGGGCCAGGCAAAACCGCCUUCCUAUCCCCCGGGAGCCGAGGCCUCCGAGAUCGGCGCUGGGAGGUCGCACAGUGCAGGCAAAUCACACGGACCUCAGAGCAGGGUCCCUGGCCGUGAAAACUCAAAAGACACAGUCUUUAAAAUAAGGACAGAAAACUGUAUUUAGUGCCACAAUAAAGCUGUGUCACAAACUACCC
rnacentral:lncRNA from 10 species